AGCAACCGCAACACUGAAGUGCAGACCUUGGGCAACAUGAGUGGCCAGUGAAUCACAGAGAACACAAAGGACAAGGUUUUUAUAACAUGUCAGCUAGCCCCUGAUAGCUACCAUGUGGUGAUAACGACUAUUCAGUCCAAGCCCUAAAUGAGAUGGAGAAAGUGCACGUGUAAAGAAGGAACGCAUCUCUGCAGUGAUGUUCCUAUUCCUACAAUUUCUGCAGUUCCUGGAAAAAGAAUGAAUUCAGAGGCCUGGACUGUUAACACUGAACUUACUGAUGUGGAUGUUGUGGAGAGCCUAGUGGUGCAAAUCACAUAUGUCUAUAAAGAAGGAAAAUUGAUUGUGUCACAGCAAAUGAGCUGCUGCUGGUCUGAUCAGCCUCAUGAAGUCAAGGACUCCUGGUACACUGCUGCUGGCAAAUCAAUGAACAUUACUCCCCAGAUGCCCUUACAGGCUGAGCUGCCAGGGGACCAGUGA
rnacentral:lncRNA from 1 species